rnacentral:lncRNA from 1 species
GAGCAGCACAAGGAUCAGUCGUACCUCAACGUGGAAUCCGACAAGGAGACCCUCUCUCCCCGUAUAUCUUCAUACUUUGUAGUGAAGUGCUAUCUGGUCUAUGCACAAAAGCUCAAAUGGAUGGAACCUUACCAGGCCUUAGAGUAGCAAUGAGCAGCCCCAGAAUCAACCACUUGUUAUUUGCAGACGACACGAUGUUCUUCUGUAGGUCAGAUGCUCAAAGCUGUAAAACACUGCUACAUAUCCUCAACGUGUAUGAAACUGCCUCUGGGCAAAAGAUAAAUAAAGAAAAAUCGGCAAUAACCUUUUCUUCAAAAACUGGAGAACAUAUCAAAUUACAGGCUCAACGUAUUUUAGGAAUUCAAAGAGUGGGAGGUCUCGGUAAAUACCUGGGCUUGCCUGAGAUGUUUGGCCGCAAGAAGAGGGACCUUUUCAACCAGAUCAUAGACAAUAUUCGUCAGAGAGCUCUAAGCUGGUCUUCACGGUUCCUAUCCACUGCUGGGAAGGCUACCAUGCUAAAGUCUGUCUUGGCGGCAAUGCCAACGUACACAAUGUCAUGUUUUAAGCUUCCCGGCUCACUCUGCAACAGAAUCCAAUCAGCCCUCACCCGAUUCUGGUGGGAUUCCUCUGCAGGAAAUAAGAAAAUGUCAUGGAUUGCUUGGUCAAAAAUGACAAAAUCAAAGCGAGAUGGAGGAUUGGGCUUUAGGGAUAUCACUGCCUUUAAUGAUGCACUAUUGGCAAAAAUUAGCUGGAGACUACUUACAAAACCCUCUUGUCUGCUAGCAAGAAUCCUGCUAGGAAAAUACUGCCCUUCCAAUUCCUUCCUAUCCUGCUCAGUCCCUGCUUCUGCUUCUCAUGGCUGGAGAGGAAUUUGUAUAGGGCGUGAUCUGAUAUAAUCUCAAUUGGGACGAGCAAUUGGAUCUGGAAUUACUACCUCGGUUUGGUCUGAUCCGUGGAUUUCCCUCACAUCCCCUGUUGUUCCAAUGGGACCGGUUCCUGAGAAAAGCCAAAACCUGAAAGUUUCUGAGCUGAUAUGUCCCAUUUCUAAGGAGUGGGAUAAAGCUAAGAUAUCAUUGAUCUUACCCCAAUAUGAACAAGAUAUUCUCUCCCUUAGACCCAGUAAACUAGGAGCAGAGGAUAAAUACAUCUGGCUCCCAACAAAGACUGGAGAAUAUAGCGCAAAAUCUGGAUAUCACGAGGCAUCAAAGGAAGACUCCACAAAUCUCCAACCAAUUCCACGGUCAGAAGACUUUAACUGGUUAAAAGAAAUUUGGAACAUCCGCUGCUCUCCAAAGGUUAAAUUUCUUUUAUGGAAAGCCAUGAGAAAUGCCAUUCCCUCAGGGAAGAAUCUCAAAGAUCGUGGAAUAAACAGAGAAGCUGUUUGCCCUCACUGCGGCGAGGAUGAAUCAAACCUGCACCUAUUUUUCCAUUGCACCUUUGCUAGGAAAAUAUGGGAGUUAGCACCUCUCAAAUCCCCUAUUCACCCGACCCUUGUUACCAGUCUCAAAGCCGGGAUCGAAUUAACCAAUAGGCUUUUAUGCCUUCCGCCUUUGGGUAUCGGCCAUGGAAGCCUUUCUCCUUGGAUCAUGUGGAUGAUCUGGAUCAGUCGCAACAAGAAGAUUUUUGAGCAUAAACAAUCAAAUAGUGCCGACACACUAACCCAAGCAAUUAUCCUUGCAAAAGAAUGGAAUAUGGCUCAAUCUGAUACAUCUUCAAACCCAAAACCCCAUCUAGAUCGAACCCUUCAAUUUGUAGAUGCUGACUCUAUUCGGAUCUUCUCAGAUGCUGCUUGGAGAGAGGACUCAAAAGAGGCUGGAUUUGGUUGGAUCUGGGUGGACACGGUCACUGGGUUGGAAAAUCACGGAAGCUCUACAGCGACCAAUGUUUGCUCCCCUUUAAUGGCGGAGUCGAUAGCUCUUCUUCUUGCUCUCAAACAAGCUCUCAACCUAGGCUUCCAAAAAGUUAUCUUUGCUUCAGAUUCGCAACUGCUAAUCAAAGCAUUAAAUGCAGAGCCCUUCUCAAAGGAGCUCUACGGGAUUCACCAUGAUAUCCUUCUUCUAUCUUUAAAUUUUAUCGAAUGUAAUUUUACUUUUGUUAAGAGAGAACAGAACAUGAAAGCUGAUGG